AUUCAUUAGGUAUCUGUCUAAUAAAAAAAUAAACCGACCACGGAGUAGACGAUGUUUUAUCCUCUAACAGUUCGUCUUCUCCGAUUGAAAACCAUCGAAACUGAGUUUUGAUAGAGCCACUUCACCAUCUGAAACAAUCCGAGUAAUGGCGUCGUGUUUACUCCAUUGAUUCACUCCCCCUCGAUGUCUUCUUCAAUGAUUUUUUCGAUCUACAAGGCGGUGUUUAUCUGUAUAAAUAUAUAGAGUAUGUGAGAGUCAUUGCUAAGCCUGGUACUUCCCCCUGUUACAUGUGCUCCUGAACAAGAAGUUGGAGUCUUGCAGUGGAUUUUGGGCAAGAGUGUAAGCAGCGUAGUUCUUAUUUGGAAUACUGGGCAAAACGAUAGGUUUGUGGGUAUUGCUGCACCUUAUUUGGCUAGGAUCCUCCCGAUGUUUGGAGGAGAGAUCUUGUGCCAGCCAGAUGCAUUCCUUUGUUCCGUAAAUGAUGUAAAGGUUGUCAACUCCGUUGAUCAGAGGGCAAGAAACAUCGUUGUUGCUGGUUCAGAGGGAUUUCUGAGACAGCGCUUAUCUCGACAAGGUCUUGCUUUUAUCCUGGCAGGUGGCUCAGGUUAGGUUUUAUCUCAACCAAAAUGCUGUUUGGCGUAUAGAACAAGUUGUAGAUGAGGAGAGAAUGAAUGGUGGUGAUGAGAUCAGAGCUUCGUGGUUUUAGAUCGGAGAUUCUCUCAGGUUUGAAGGCAGUUCAGGCGAAGAAGUUCAAGAAGCUCCAGAAGAAGCACAAAUAUGAUGAUGUGAAACCGAAGAGCCCAUAAAAAGAAAUGAUGAGGAAGAUAGAAAGAAGACAUGGAGAAAUCAAAGAAAUAACUUUUUAUAAAAGUCUAUAGUGCAUGGAGUUAUGUCAGAUGAUGUUGCUCGGUUAUUGAAUCGGAGUCACCACUACUCAGUUGUGGGCUUACAUGGCUUAUCUCAGCCGAGAAUAUAGGAAAGACAAUGCUGGUCCAUCCAGAAAAGUAUGGAGAGUGAGAUAGUAGUUGAAGCUUUUAAGAACUGCAUAACACAUAUGAUGUAGUGAUUAUGGUUCAUCAUUUGUAUUGGUGUAUCAAGUACCUCCAUCUCUGAUCUCCCUAGCUGUUUUACAUUGGGAAUUUGAGCUGGGGGAGGAAUACUAACAAUGAUGCAACUCCUUAUGUGAGACGCCUACCAAUCCAAAACCAACAUGGAGAUUUUGUGAGAGGUGGUUAAAGCAGAGGCGAAGCUGGUGGUAGCAAAGGGAAAUGAAGGUGGUCCAACAAUUGUGCCUAAAAGUGGGAUUGAAAAAUGGAAAAAAAUUCAUGAUAGGUGAAGGCUAUUUUAUUAUGCGAGGAAGAUGGGAAUAAUUUAAUCUCCAUCAGUAGCUUAACUCGCUUCACAUUCAAGAUUGUGGUUAGAGUUGUUUAUCAUAAAAAAAACCAAGUAAAAACAUGUUCCACAAGUGAUUUACAAAAUGUUCUUUCUGUUAGUUACUAAUACAUGAAUAUGUUUUUAAUUGAUAAAAGAUGGUUAUCAUUAUGUUUGUGAUAAA